CCUGUCCCUAGCUCUGUGGUGGUCCACGGCGGCCCAGAGCCACCUCCUCCUGUCCGCAAACCUCCCCUCCCUGCCCAGGCUGCCUGGCGCUGGCCAAGCCACCUGUGGCUAUCACAGAGCAUUGGCUGGCCAGCCAGUGAGAGCAGAGGCUGCCACGGCCACUGACCUGUGAUGUCCCCACAAUGGACCUUUGAGGAAAAAACCCAGGAGGUGCCAGAGUGUCCCCAACACUGGCCACUCCUGAUGGACUCAGGCCUUUGCCUGUGAGUCGAACACUGAGGUGGGGGGAGGGGACUGGGAAUCCUGGCCUUUGCCCCAGGCCUUUGCAGGCCCCGCCCUGCCCCUCCACAUGGCUGAGCAGAGCUGGCCCCACUGGCCCUGCCUGAGGACCACCAGAAAGCUGCCAGUAGCCCCAAGUUGCUCAAAGCCACCCUGAGAUGGAAAGGGGUUUGAAAUCCUCCUUCUACACGGGAGGCAGGGAGCAGGGGCUUCCUGGCCAAGGUCAGCAGCCAGUAAGGCUCGGAGGCUCCUCUGACCCUCGGGCUCUCAGCACCAACAGGUUGGCGAGCGGCGGGCACCCAGGAGGCCCCAAGGACCCGCCCCGCUCCGGGAGAAGGCGGACGAGGCCCUGGGCUUAGACUUCUGGGCUGCUCCCGUACACAGCGGGUGCUCACUAAGUGCAGGUCGCCAAGGACCGCGGGCCGUGUCUCCCCUCAUCAGAAAACAACCAGGCACUUUCCGACCUCAGGGCCUCUGCUCAGUGGCUCCUCCGCUGGAUCACUGCCCCCGGAUUCUUGCCUCGGCCUCGGACCGCACCUCCUCCGUCUGGUUCAGGCUUCAUGAUUGCUUUAUUAGAAAGUUCUUUGCUUGCUGGGUGUGGUGCACGCCUGUGAUCCCAGCACUCUGGGAGGCUGAGGCAGGAGGAUCACAAGUUCAAGCCCAUCCUGGGCAAUUUAGCAACUUAGCAAGACCCUGUCUCAAAAUUAGAUAAAGGGCUGGGGAUGCAGCUCAGUGUGAGCCCUGGGUUCAAUCCCAGUACCGCAAAAAAACAAAAAUUUUGGCCGGGGAUGGAGCUCAGUGGUUUCACCGCCUGCUGCGCAAGCGCAAGGACCCGAGUUCGAUCCCCG
rnacentral:lncRNA from 1 species